rnacentral:rRNA from 1 species
UACGGAAGGAGCCUAGCGUUGUUCGGAAUUGACUAGGGCGUAAAGCGCACGUAGGCGGCUUUGUGAAGUUAGAGGUGAAAGCCUGGGGCUCCAACCCCAGAAUUGCCUUUAAGGCUGCAUCGCUUGAAUCCAGGAGAGGUGAGUGGUAAUUCCGAGUGUAGAGGUGAAAUUCGUAGAUAUUCGGAAGAACACCAGUGGCGAAGGCGGCUGACUGGACAUGUAU